CCAACCGACCACAUUGUCAUCUCACUUUAUCCUUCCUGAUCGGAUCCGACAUCAGCUCUAUCAGAAAAGAAAAUGAUGAAACCCGUCGCUAUACUUCUCCUCUUCUCAUUGGCCCUCUAUUCAUUUGGUGUUGAUGGAUUCAAUUGUCCACCAAAUGAAGUCUAUUCUCACUGUGAGGGCCACUGCCAGAAGAGCUGCCAAGAACAAGGACCAUUGGUGUGCCCUAGAAUCUGCGUAGGCGGUUGUGUCUGCCAAUCGCCGUACAUCCGCCACUCACGCAAUGAUAAUACAUGCGUUCUGCCAGCGAAUUGCUGAGGAGUUACCUAAAACAUGAAGACAUUUCAGAGAUGUGAAGUGGAAUUAAGACGCAUUGUAUCGUUUCAUGUGUCUUUUUACGUCUAAUAAAAAAUAACUAAAAAGAUU